CCUGUAUUGGCUUGUGCUGGAUUUGUAAAGGACACUGCCUUUGAUCACAUGGAUAAACAGGGAUAUACAAGGAAAUUUGUCAUUUGGAUUUGCCUCUGCAUUCUACCAUCUUUAUCUGAUGGAGUGCCUGCAUGGGAUACCUGAAUCAUGUCAUAUGAUUAUAUACAAGAUGGUUAUGAAAGUUUAAACACAGCUCUGAAAGCAUAUUAGAUAUAUAAAUGCCAUUAAUUCCAGAAUAAUUAACAGGAUAAAGGAUUGUAAUAUGAUAUAAUGUUAAGGGCAUACUGUGUUUCAUAUCAAAAUGACCAGAGAGGUAAUGUGAUCUUACCCGUCUGUGAUUGGUAUUGCGAACUUAUUAAUAUGAAGAAAAUGAUGGUAGUUAUUACAUAUUUUAAAGAAAUAAUCUCAAAUGUUUAGAAAUGGCUAGGUGUAUUUGCUUAUGUGUCAUGUGGCCCCCCGAUGGACAGAUGCAGGUAUUGCAGCCAGGAGACGAUUGGUUGUUGCAAGGAUGCAUCUCCUUAGCAACGCACACUCACAAGGUGAACCAAUAGCAGGGACAAGGUUUCGAAGGGCCGCCCAUAAUCAAUACCUAUGAUUACACAAUAAAGUUGUAUGCAGAAAAGGAAAAAAGAGACUGGCUGCUGAGUUUGUAACUGACUGAAACUGUUUGCGUGGGACACAGUCAAAUUAUAAAACAAAGUGGGCCAUACUUCUCCUUUUCCAUU